CCUUCAUAUGUAUUGAUGUAGCUAUUCGAUUGACCUCAAAUCUCUUGUACACAUUUACAACAAGCAUAAAAAUAAGUCUCUAAAUUUUCACUUGUAAAAAUACUACAAAAGUCACGAAAUCCAAAAAUUUGUAAACCGGUUUUAUUUCUCAAAGAUCUAAAUUCACAGAGAACAUCACUCGCUUUGAAAAUCCCUCAAAAAUCCAAUACUAAUCCAAACGACACGAAAUCACCUUUCAAAAAUCUCUUCACAAGUCUGCUCCAUUAUUCAGCUCUCUAAUCUUCCAAAGAUUCCUUUAGUCGCCGUCAGAGUGCGAUUUUGUGCCUCGAGAUCUGAUUUCGACCCAAGUUCAUAACCGGUCCUCUGUGGGUAUCAACUUUUAUCUUCUUGAGGUAAUUUUUACUAAUUUGCACUCUUAACUCCUUCUUACAUAUGCCUAUAUCUUAUAAUUAUUCUAAUCUACCUUAAUUUGCCUUAUUUAUGGCCUUAGAAAGUAAAUAGAAGCAUAAUUUGUAAAUAGGCAGCAUUAGCAUCUUUAAUUUUUCUACCCUUUGACUAAUAUCUAUUUUUCCAAGAUAAUUUUUUACAAUAUUUUUGAAAAGAGAUCCUCAAAAU
rnacentral:lncRNA from 1 species